UACGAAGGGGGCUAGCGUUGCUCGGAAUCACUGGGCGUAAAGGGUGCGUAGGCGGGUUUUAAGUCAGGGGUGAAAUCCUGGAGCUCAACUCCAGAACUGCCUUUGAUACUGAAGAUCUUGAGUUCGGGAGAGGUGAGUGGAACUGCGAGUGUAGAGGUGAAAUUCGUAGAUAUUCGCAAGAACACCAGUGGCGAAGGCGGCUCACUGGCCCGAUACUGACGCUGAGGUGCGAAAGCGUGGGGAGCAAACAGGG
rnacentral:rRNA from 1 species